CACUGUUCGUAUCACUCUCACGGCAUGUGGUGAUGAAAGCACUGAGUCCAGGCGGUUGAAAAACUCCCAAAACGUGUGGAUCUGUGGAUAUCCAAGCACAUUUUCCUCCUCAUCAUCAUUUUCUUAAACAUUCCUAUUUUCCCUUAUGAAGUUGGACAUCUGAUGAAUUUCUCUCCCACUCCUUAUGUUUUCUACUAUGUGAUAUCUAUCUUACAGUCAACACCUUUCAAAUUUCACACUCUGAACUUAAACAUUUCAUCAAGCAAGAAGGCACAGCAAUCAGACUAUGAAUGCAGUGCAGCAUAUAAAUUCCAAAAACACACAUGUACAGAGAUAUAACCUUAAAACUGAUACUGAUGACUCACUUUGAAUAGCCGGGGCAGCCUGAAGACAGAAAUGGGGCCAAACUUGAAGUACAGCAGUUCCAGCGGCAGCAAUGACACCAGAUCAUACUGAAAAAGAAAUAAAGUGCUUGCGGGAAAGCCAGGAUGGAAGAGAGGAGGUGAAGGUGUCGACACAGCCAUGCCUGCCGGCCCCCAAGACCCACCGGCACAGGUUCUGAUGAUCCCUUAGUGGCAGACCCUUCAUCAUCCAGGGAGUCCAAGGGCUGACGAGUCUCCCCGGCCUUGUUCUGGCCGUCAUCCGCUGCCAGGAAUGUAAGGAUGGGAGUCUGUCAUCAAAUCAAACUAGGAUACGGAGUGACACGAGCAUAGCGGUGACCUAGACGUGGGCUGGAGCGUGGGCGUGGACGCUGGCCUGAACUGGGACGGGACGAGGAUGCCACUUGCGUGAAGGGAGCCACGCGGCCACAGCCAAGCACUCCUAUCACGAGAAAAUCUAUCGACAUUCUUGGAAUACAAAUAAAAUUUGAUCCACAACGUU